ACUGGUGUAGUCAAACUGCAAGCCUUCAGAAGUUCGUUGGUCAGAAUGACGUAAGUCUGAGCGUUGAGCCGUUGUCUGGGUCUAUCGUAAUGAUGGGUUCCCUUUCUCGGAAGGGGAAUGUGUGGUGCGAAUUUCGUUGCUGCAUACCUGGGCACCGGUUGCUCUGCUGACCCGCUUAUUUUUCUGUUGGCGUUUGUCACGACCGCUGUUGCUGCCAGUCUACACCACCUAAACCGUUACGUGAUUAGUUUUUUACUUUUUGCGUUUCGGGGGCAGGUUUCCCGGUCCGUUUGUAAAAACGGCUGGAUGUUAAAGCCGGGUGGUGUGGUGCUUGUAAACUGUGCAGUACAGUGGUACAGCGGCAGGUUGUGUUGCGCGCUGGGUGCGCUAAAGUCGUUUCUGCGUUGUUGUGGCAUGACCGAUUGUUGCUGUCUCUGAUAGCCUGUCGGUUGCUAUGAUGUGCGGAUUUCGCGGCUGCGUCCGGCAAACCAUUAU
rnacentral:rRNA from 1 species